CCAGGGCUAAACUUAGAGGGAAGCUGUCAUCACCCUAGGGCCUGAGGAGGAAGGGGAGAAAAUACUGUUUGGGGGGCCUGGUGGGAGCUGUAGCUGGGAGGAGGACCAUGAGGGAGAAACCAUAGUCAUGGAAGGAUGUUGUCACUGCCAGGACCAAGACACCAAGACUGUGUGCUAGGCACUGAGUUAGAGUUGAAGACCCUCAAGAAUUCCACUGACAACUGAAUCAUCAAAGGGAACCGAGCCCUGCCCAAGGACAUACAGUUGUUUUCCUCUUCCUUGUCCUUUGGAGAAGCACAGCUGAAGCUUCCUGCCCACACCCCAGCCCCUCCUCCUUGAGCAUGAAUGUGCAGACCACCCACCGCCCCAUGCUUGUAUCUACAACAGCUAUGAGGAAGAACAUACAGAUUAAUCACCCUGCUGCGGGAUG
rnacentral:lncRNA from 10 species